UUGUAUAUAGUCCUCUGCAAACCUAUGGUGGCAUCAUGCCUUAAGUGUGUCUUGAAUCACCAUAAAAAAAUCUUCUGGGGGAGGAUACCCCCAGACCCCCCUACAGGGGUUUGGAAUGCAAACGUUCAGCCCCCCCUCAAAUAAAUUCCACCAGCCGCCACUGGUUCAUACGCUAUUAAAUCUUCAACUAAAUGUGCAGAUACCGUCAAAAUCGGUUCCAGGGAGUAUAGGGAUUAUUAUUAUUAUUAUUAUAAUUUUUUUUAUCUUUUUUAUUUUUUUCUGGAACGAGUAUUCGAAUACUCGCUCGGAAAAACCGACGAGUAUUCGAAGCCUGAAAAAUGGUAUUCGGGCCAGCCCUAUUGAUUAGACAUAUUAUGUUUAAAGAUCCCAUGCCACACCCAUUUCAUUCCUUUUUUUAUAAUCGUUGAUGUCCUUUGAUCGAGUUUGUAACCUUGUUUGUGUUGGAAAUGCCUAGGAUAGCUUAUUUCAAGCUAUUCUAGAAUGACCGAAAAGCCUGGUAGAGAAGACGACUGGUUUUCUCAUGAAUAUCUAUGUAUUAAUGAGCUUUGCUCUGAUUGGACGUCUGUUUUCAUGAAUAUUCAAUAUUUAAAUUUCGCUUUGCUCUGAUCGGACGACAAAGCAGCUGUCCAUCUGCUUACCGAGGCACAGCAAGCCUAAAACGAUGUCAGGAAUUUUGCCCUACGUGUUUGAUCCAGAGUCGGAAGAUGAGACUGAAGGAGAAGACCAAGAACAACCACAAACACGUACAAUGACGGACGUUUCAGAAUGGUGUACCUGUGGGAAUUGCUCUACAAUGCAGAAAGAGGAUGAGAAUGUAUGCUGCAGGGAGACAACAUCGGUUGUAAGAAUAAUGGAAGACGAGGAUCCACCAUUAUUAUGCAUGACCAUCCACCCAGGACUAGAUCCAGUUUGUCUCAAUAGAUAUUCCCAGCAAAAUGCCCUGAACAUUUAUCAACGUGAUUAUGGGAACUUGCAAGUUAGAGGCAAUGAGUAAGUGAGAUGAAAAAAUGUCUAUACUACGGCACAUCAGCAUAUUCAAACAUGUCUACCAAUCUCAUACACUAUUUUGUAUAGUGAAAGUCAAAGUGAUGGAGCUGUACCUACACAUAAUAACAAUACAAAUAAUGAUCAUUUUUUAUUCUAUUUACACGUGACAAAACAAAACUCACACACUAUGUACAGUUCAGCCUUGGCCAUAUAUACAUAAACAACAAUGUCCUCUGCUUUUUGACAGCCGUUGCAGGUACUUGGCCUACAGGUCGUUUGUCAGCUGGUGCUGGGGAUAUCUUGGCAGGAAGAUACGUGUUGUCAUCCCCUCUUGUGUGGUCCAACAUGUACGCGGGGAGUUCCCUGAUGCGGAAGGCCAAUAUGUUGGAUUUAAACCUCCUCCACUCUAAAGCGAGAUACAUGGGCCGCAAUAGCGUCUUUUAAGGGUGGACGUUCGUGUUGGGACGAUAGGGAACUGGGCACAGGAAUCUGCUGACUUUCCUCCAAGUAGGGCAGGGGGUUAGGGACUACCUCUUCAAAGAGGAGAUGCAUCAGGCUGAGGGUAUAGCCUAAAAGAAAUACAAUGUAGGUAAACUCUACAUGUAACAAUGUACAAAGUGUUUUAUACAUCAAUAAAUAUUUUCUUACAACUUACAGUAUGUUGGUUGUGUUUUUACUGCUUUCACCGUAGCCGCUCCUUUUUUUGCUUUUGGGAAACUGAGUUUGUACCUCAGUCUUCCUGAGUUUGUCUUCGC